rnacentral:rRNA from 1 species
GACGAACGCUGGCGGCGUGCUUAACACAUGCAAGUCGAACGGAAAGGCCUUUUCGGAGGUACUCGAGUGGCGCACGGGUGAGUAACACGUGGGUGAUCUGCCCUGCACUCUGGGAUAAGCCUGGGAAACUGGGUCUAAUACCGGAUAGGACCGCACUUUAGUGUGUGUGGUGGAAAGUUGUUUCGGUGUAGGAUGAGCCCGCGGCCUAUCAGCUUGUUGGUGGGGUAAUGGCCUACCAAGGCGGCGACGGGUAGCCGGACUGAGAGGUUGGUCGGCCACAUUGGGACUGAGAUACGGCCCAGACGCCUACGGGAGGCAGCAGUGGGGAAGAUUGCACAAUGGGCGCAAGCCUGAUGCAGCGACGCCGCGUGGGGGAUGACGGCCUUCGGGUUGUAAACGCCUUUCGCCAGGGACGAAGCGUUUUGUGACGGUACCUGGAGAAGAAGCACCGGCUAACUACGUG